UACAGAGGCCUCGAGCGUUAGGCGGAAUCACUGGGCUUAAAGCGCACGUAGGCGGUCUUUUAAGUCGGGGGUGAAAUCCUGGAGCUCAACUCCAGAACUGCCUUCGAUACUGGAAGACUUGAGUCCGGGAGAGGUGAGUGGAACUGCGAGUGUAGAGGUGAAAUUCGUAGAUAUUCGCAAGAACACCAGUGGCGAAGGCGGCUCACUGGCCCGGUACUGACGCUGAGGUGCGAAAGCGUGGGGAGCAAACAGG
rnacentral:rRNA from 1 species